AAACUCAAUAAGUGGACCUUGGCCAUAGACUUCAACACUUUUGGGGUCAAAAAAUUUCACAUCCUCCCUGAUCUUCCGCCCCUCUGCUCUUCCUCACAAAUCGAAGUCUUGUAUCCCAAUCAUGACCACCUUUUUUCUUUUUUUUUUCAAUUUAACCUUCCUGGAAGUGGAUUUGAAUGGGGACUCCAAGUCCAGCUCCAGCCAUUGCAAUUGUAGCGACAACAUACUCACAUUGCAAUUUAUAGUAGCAAAAUGCACCCUCGUUUUAUUUCCAUGUCUCACGGCAGAAAAUGGAUCAAAUUCCGAUUAGAAACGAAUUUUGUGAAAAGAAUAUUAGCUAAAAAUCAGAUGUCAUUGCAGCUCUAAGCUCUAAAGAAUGCUCUUUUGGUGCAUAAUACACCACAAAAGUAGAAUUAAGAAGGGAUUCGAUUGAUGGGCAAUAAGGUAUGCUCCAGUUGGGUGUAAAUUGUCGCAACUCGGGUUAACCUGAAGAGACCAAGUAGAGAAGCUGAUAGUUUUCCAAGCAGAGAGAACCAGAGAAUCAUAAAAGCAUUGAAAAUUGGAUGAUUUGGAGAUGGGUUUUGGAAGAGGAAGAGAAUUUAAAAAACAUUGGUAAUGUAAUGCUGAAAUAUAUUGGGUUGGUAGACCCAGUUGUGGCCAUAAGGGCUCUAGUGUCGUCGGAUUUUGUGAAUUUUGUUGAUUUAGUUAUUUGGUUCUUGAUUUGUUAUUGUGAUUU
rnacentral:misc_RNA from 1 species